rnacentral:sRNA from 1 species
UCUAUGACACGGAACAUCUUGGUGAUUCACUGGUUUAUCCCAUGCAUGUUUAUUAGGCCACUAAAUUUAAAAGCAAUUUUAAUAUGCUUGAUGAAAGGUACAUGCCUUAAUGAGAGUCAUCUUUCUUAAGAAAUUACCAGAUUGUGCUGUGGCCUGGGGUUCCUGUUUCUCUUUAGGCCUCAUCCCCACCCUCCUGCCCUUUGUCCUGGUGCCCCCACGUCUCUGGCUUCUGGCUUCACUUCUCCCACCAGGACCCAACCAUUCUCCCUCCUGGUUUGCCUGGGUGUCCCCCACAUCCUCCCAGGAGGAGCUCCCUAUGGCUGCUGCCUGACCACGUAGGACCUCCUGCGUGCGGUGGUCUGAAUAGGAACUGCUUUGUCAAGGCUGCACACGUGAGCUCUGGGGCCCGGGACUGUCCAGGGUCUGACUCAGUACCUCCUCUGGGGAAGCCUCAGGUGAUGCUGGUCACACAGGGGCUCCUGUUGCAGCAUACACCUGUUGACCAGGUAUUAGGGGUUUUCUUGUUUGUUAACCUGCAUCAUUGUCUAUGCACUGGAGACUACCCUGCAUCAGAAGCUGAUGUUUCAUCUUAUCCCCUCUCCAGUGUGGCCGACACCCCAUCUCUUGGGAGGUCACCCCACCUUUGAGCACCCCCAGAGCCUCUCAUUCUCUUGGUCCACACCUGAGCCAGGCAGGGCCUGCUUCUGGGUUCUGCAGCACUGCUCAGGUCUCUGCGUCUCCACCCCAGGCGCACCACCACUCCGUGGUCCCCAUGGUGGAGUCAGAGUGUGCACCUCCUCUCCAGUGCCUCUUCCCAUGGCACUCCCCUGUCGCUGCACCUGAUCCUUGCAGUGCCGUGCAGCUUGUCUCCCACCACAUGCAGCACCUUCCUGUCCCUAGUGAUGCCCCUUCUGCCCUUUGGAGCACCAGACCAUCCAUGGCUGUCUGAUUUCCUUUAAAGAUACCAUCUUCCUUGAAGAACAUGAAGUCUGAGGGUACCUGUGAAGGGGCCCCUUCCUUCUGCUGAUGCAGCCCUGUGGUUCCGAUGGCUGCAGGCUGCGCUAACUUGAGCAUGUCCAGCCACCCCUUCCCUGCUGGCCCCCCAGGUAGUGCUGGCGUUCCACUCUUGUUGCUCUGUGCAGGGUCGAUCUCCUCCUGUGACGCCUUCCUCAACGUCUUCCAGUCCAGAGGUCUGAGGCCAGAGGUCAUCUGUCCUUGUGCAAGUUCUCCUGAGGCGCUGACUGUCGCCAUCCGCAGGCCACCUGAUCUGGGAGGACCACCUCCAAGAAAAGCAGUCCUAUCGAUGAACGGUCUAAGUUAUGGUGUUAUCAGAGUGGAUACUGAAGAAAAGUUGUCAGUCCUUACUGUUCAGGACGUUGGUCAGGUGAUGCCUGGAGCUAAUGUAUGUGUUGUGAAGUUAGAAGGUACCCCUUAUCUUUGUAAAACUGAUGAAGUGGGAGAAAUAUGCGUCAGUUCCAGUGCAACUGGCACAGCGUACUAUGGAUUGCUUGGAAUCACGAAGAAUGUGUUUGAGGCUGUUCCGGUCACCACAGGAGGAGCACCCAUCUUUGACAGGCCAUUCACCAGGACGGGCCUGCUGGGCUUCAUCGGGCCUGACAACCUGGUCUUCAUCGUGGGCAAACUGGACGGGCUGAUGGUCACUGGAGUUCGCAGACACAAUGCAGAUGACGUUGUGGCCACCGCACUGGCCGUGGAGCCCAUGAAGUUUGUCUACAGAGGCAGGUGAUGCGCUGCGGACCCCCAUGCCGGGAGUAGAUUCCUUCGUUUGCAGCUCGGGAAGUCUUUCUGCAGUAGAUGGAAAGCCCAGCAAACUUGAAUUCACAAAGCCUAAAAAUUGUACAUCAGAAAACUACUAAAGUAAAAGGAAAAUAUUUGCAGCAAU